CCUACGGGUGGCAGCAGUGGGGAAUAUUGCACAAUGGGGGAAACCCUGAUGCAGCAACGCCGCGUGAGUGAUGAAGUAUUUCGGUAUGUAAAGCUCUAUCAGCAGGGAAGAAGAUUACGGUACCUGUUCAAGAAUCCACGGCUAACUACGUUACAGCAGACGCGGUAUUACGUAGGGGGCAAGCGUUAUCCGGAUUUACUGUGUGUAAAGGGAGCGCAGACGGCUGGGCAAGUCCGGAGUGAAAGCCUGGGGCCCAACCCCGGAACUGCUAUGGAAACUGUGCGGCUAGAGUACUGGAGGGGCAGGCGGAAUUCGUGGUGUAGCGGUGAAAUGCGUAGAUAUUAGGAAGAACUCCAGUGGCGAAGGCAGCCUGCUGAACAGUAACUGACGUUGAUGCUCGAAAGCGUGGGGAGCAAACAGGAGUAGAUACCCCAGUAGUC
rnacentral:rRNA from 1 species